GGGAGUCAGACUAAAUGGUCUGUAAGGCCCGCUGAGCAGAAGAAGAGAGCAAGACGAACUCCUACCCCCCUUCAAAACUCCUUCACAAAAUCAAAUGAACCAAAACAUAGCAUCAUACCAGACACUUUGAAGGAAACAAUUCCAUCCCGGAUGAAGCUAAGGCAAAUGGCCAUGAUCCCGCACCUUGGAUUUGUCCCCAGGCAUCAGGAGCUGCUCAGUACCUGUCCUGCGUGUGGCUACACAGGGUUUUUAUAGGAAUUACAGAUCCACUCAGGGCAGCCAAACCAUUCACACAGUGACUCAUGGAGAUGGAGAUGUGGAUAAGAGCUAGCUGCCCGUCUGUCCACAAGUGACUGAAGCUGGAGAAAGCAACUGGUUCCUUCCUGCCUGACAGAAGAUGCGUUUGCUCCUCCAAGUCAAAGCAAUAUUGUGCUUCCCUCGUUCAUUCUUUUUGUGAUUUUUGUUUUGUGUUUUCUAAAUCUUGCAUGUACACUGGAGCUAACUUUCUGUUAACAAUGUGUUUUGAUGGCUCUGCUAUAAGCUCUGAAAUAAUUGCGCU
ensembl:lncRNA